AGAGUGAACGCUGGCGGUAGGCCUAACACAUGCAAGUCGAACGGCAGCACAGUGGUAGCAAUACCAUGGGUGGCGAGUGGCGGACGGGUGAGGAAUACAUCGGAAUCUACCUUUUCGUGGGGGAUAACGUAGGGAAACUUACGCUAAUACCGCAUACGCCCUUCGGGGGAAAGCCGGGGAUCGCAAGACCUGGCGCGGAUAGAUGAGCCGAUGUCGGAUUAGCUAGUUGGUGAGGUAAUGGCGCACCAAGGCGACGAUCCGUAGCUGGUCUGAGAGGAUGAUCAGCCACACUGGAACUGAGACACGGUCCAGACUCCGUACGGGAGCAGCAGGUGGGGAAUAUUGGACAAGUGGGC
rnacentral:rRNA from 1 species